rnacentral:rRNA from 1 species
AUACGGAGGGUGCAAGCGUUACUCGGAAUCACUGGGCGUAAAGCGCGCGCAGGCGGGCUGAUAAGUUGGAUGUGAAAGCCUACGGCUCAACCGUAGAACUGCAUCCAACACUGUCAGCCUAGAGUGUGGGAGAGGAAGAUGGAAUUAGUUGUGUAGGGGUAGAAUCCGUAGAGAUAACUAGGAAUACCAAAAGCGAAGGCAAUCUUCUGGAACACUACUGACGCUGAGGCGCGAAGGCGUGGGGAGCAAACCGGAGUAGAAACCCCAGUAGUCC